GACGAACGCUGGCGGCGUGCUUAACACAUGCAAGUCGAACGGAAAGGCCCUGCUUUUGUGGGGUGCUCGAGUGGCGAACGGGUGAGUAACACGUGAGUAACCUGCCCUUGACUUUGGGAUAACUUCAGGAAACUGGGGCUAAUACCGGAUAGGAGCUCCUGCUGCAUGGUGGGGGUUGGAAAGUUUCGGCGGUUGGGGAUGGACUCGCGGCUUAUCGGCUUGUUGGUGGGGUAGUGGCUUACCAAGGCUUUGACGGGUAGCCGGCCUGAGAGGGUGACCGGCCACAUUGGGACUGAGAUACGGCCCAGACUCCUACGGGAGGCAGCAGUGGGGAAUAUUGCACAAUGGACGGAAGCCUGAUGCAGCAACGCCGCGUGCGGGAUGACGGCCUUCGGGUUGUAAACCGCUUUCGCCUGUGACGAAGCGUGAGUGACGGUAAUGGGUAAAGAAGCACCGGCUAACUACGUG
rnacentral:rRNA from 1 species